AAACCAAAUCAUGAACCUUAUGGUACGAACAAGGAUACUCGUACUUCUUUUACGGAUAAGGCUAACAAAAAUGCAGUUAACAAAUGUGAACUCCUGAGGCCUUCCUAUUGUCAUUAAGUACACGUGCGGGGAUCUAAUAAUAGGUCUCUGAUCAGUCAUCGUAUGCAUGUGUUCCUUGCCUUAAUAGUUGCACAAACUCAAUAUGAAAAUACAUGUGC
rnacentral:lncRNA from 1 species